GGCGGAAUGGUGCAGUGGUUAGCACGCCAGACUUCAACGAGUCGAGUGAGAGCGAGUGAGCAAGCGAGUGAGUGAGCAUCAGGAGUGAGCAACCCAAUCCACAAAGGCCUGAGAUCUGGAGGCCUGGGUUCGAUUCUCAGUUCCGCCA